rnacentral:lncRNA from 1 species
CAACGAGCGCAGGUAGGUGCAUCCCGUUUCCUCGCUACGUGAAUUGGGCCUGCCCAAUUAGCACAGGAUCCGUCUUCCUGUUUUGGGAGAGUUGAGACCGCAAGAGCUCUUUCCACACCUAAAACAAACAAAAAAACGAGAGAAAUCCGGAAGGAAUCCUAGCCGCCGUCCAUCGGGAUCGCGUUCAGAUCCAUCCAUGGCGCUGCGCACGCUCGCUGCGAGGACGCGGAACUGCGCUCUCCGUCUGGCGGCGCCGGCGACGCGCGUCUCGCAUGCGGCCGCCCCUCACCGAUCCAUCUACAGCACGCCGCCGGCGGUUCGUCCCUGUUAUUUUAUUUCUCGCCGUCCAUGUGUAUGAUGCAUGCUAGCGGUGGGCUUCCUCUAUCCUUGUGUCACGCAGUUACAAUUGUUUAGAGUAAUUAAUCUGGGUGGAUUAGGCAGGGUGCAUAUCGUUUUCCAAACACCUAAGCUAAAGUAAGCUUUGUGACAUGUUUGAAUCAGUAGACUUUACGUGAUCAUAUUCGUUUUUAUUUGCAAGGCAAUUGCUAGUUGGAUUGGACUUGGUGUGGUCAUCUCAUAUGCUUUGCUACUAUAUAUAUAACUGAAUAUGUACGUAGGGUCGCAAAGGAUUCGAUCCGGAAACAGCUAGCGACGAGGAGCUGAUGCGUCAAGCACACUUGGCCGAGAAAGAGAUUGGGGAAUGUUUUAAGCGUGUGAGGUGAGGCUGGUAAGCAUGAUAGAAAGAGAUUGGGAGUAGAUACUGUGUGUGCACUUCCUCUUGGGAAGGAAGGUCCUUGUUGCUAAUCAAUCCUACUUGUCUUCCAGGCUGGAGAAGAAGAAGCUACCAAAAAUUUGGCAGGAUAUGUUCGGAACCAUGAAGCUAUGGGUUUGCGCUGGCGCUGUGAUAGAGCUCCUAGGACUGUCUGCUAACUACUACCACGGCGCUGCAGCUAAAGAACCCGACGAAUGACCUGAGGUUCAUGUUGCUCUCUGCGCUAGAAUGACCUGAGGUUCACGUUGCUCUGUGUCCUUGCAGUCGUGCCCUUUGUUUAUUUAUUGCCUGAUUUAGCAGAUCUGCAUUACAUGUCUCAUCGGCCGGCACUCUUGUCAGGAUGCAUCAAUCCUCAUUUUGUAGUAUUAUGUAAGCCCUAUUUUGUGCCUUGAUACCUCUACUUACUAGGUUUGUGGUUCAUGGACAAACCUAUAUUAAUAUAUCUAUAUAAUCAUACUGGGUUGGCC